rnacentral:rRNA from 1 species
AUUGAACGCUGGCGGCAUGCCUUACACAUGCAAGUCGAACGGCAGCACGGGAGCAAUCCUGGUGGCGAGUGGCGAACGGGUGAGUAAUAUAUCGGAACGUGCCCAGUCGUGGGGAUAACGUAGCGAAAGCUACGCUAAUACCGCAUACGAUCUAUGGAUGAAAGCGGGGGAUCGCAAGACCUCGCGCGAUUGGAGCGGCCGAUAUCAGAUUAGGUAGUUGGUGAGGUAAAGGCUCACCAAGCCGACGAUCUGUAGCUGGUCUGAGAGGACGACCAGCCACACUGGGACUGAGACACGGCCCAGACUCCUACGGGAGGCAGCAGUGGGGAAUUUUUGGACAAUGGGCGCAAGCCUGAUCCAGCAAUGCCGCGUGCAGGAUGAAGGCCUCGGUUGUAAACGU